rnacentral:rRNA from 1 species
GGCAGGCCUACCAUGCAAGUCGAACGGUAGCCAGAGAGCUUGCUCUCGGGUGACGAGUGGCGGACGGGUGAGUAAUGUCUGGGAAACUGCCUGAUGGAGGGGGAUAACUACUGGAAACGGUAGCUAAUACCGCAUAACGUCGCAAGACCAAAGAGGGGGACCUUCGGGCCUCUUGCCAUCAGAUGUGCCCAGAUGGGAUUAGCUAGUAGGUGGGGUAACGGCUCACCUAGGCGACGAUCCCUAGCUGGUCUGAGAGGAUGACCAGCCACACUGGAACUGAGACACGGUCCAGACUCCUACGGGAGGCAGCAGUGGGGAAUAUUGCACAAUGGGCGCAAGCCUGAUGCAGCCAUGCCGCGUGUAUGAAGAAGGCCUUCGGGUUGUAAAGUACUUUCAGCGGGGAGGAAGGUGUUGUGGUUAAUAACCGCAGCAAUUGACGUUACCCGCAGAAGAAGCACCGGCUAACUCCGUGCCAGCAGCCGCGGUAAUACGGAGGGUGCAAGCGUUAAUCGGAAUUACUGGGCGUAAAGCGCACGCAGGCGGUCUGUCAAGUCGGAUGUGAAAUCCCCGGGCUCAACCUGGGAACUGCAUUCGAAACUGGCAGGCUAGAGUCUUGUAGAGGGGGGUAGAAUUCCAGGUGUAGCGGUGAAAUGCGUAGAGAUCUGGAGGAAUACCGGUGGCGAAGGCGGCCCCCUGGACAAAGACUGACGCUCAGGUGCGAAAGCGUGGGGAGCAAACAGGAUUAGAUACCCUGGUAGUCCACGCCGUAAACGAUGUCGACUUGGAGGUUGUGCCCUUGAGGCGUGGCUUCCGGAGCUAACGCGUUAAGUCGACCGCCUGGGGAGUACGGCCGCAAGGUUAAAACUCAAAUGAAUUGACGGGGGCCCGCACAAGCGGUGGAGCAUGUGGUUUAAUUCGAUGCAACGCGAAGAACCUUACCUACUCUUGACAUCCAGAGAACUUUCCAGAGAUGGAUUGGUGCCUUCGGGAACUCUGAGACAGGUGCUGCAUGGCUGUCGUCAGCUCGUGUUGUGAAAUGUUGGGUUAAGUCCCGCAACGAGCGCAACCCUUAUCCUUUGUUGCCAGCGGUCCGGCCGGGAACUCAAAGGAGACUGCCAGUGAUAAACUGGAGGAAGGUGGGGAUGACGUCAAGUCAUCAUGGCCCUUACGAGUAGGGCUACACACGUGCUACAAUGGCGCAUACAAAGAGAAGCGAACUCGCGAGAGCAAGCGGACCUCAUAAAGUGCGUCGUAGUCCGGAUUGGAGUCUGCAACUCGACUCCAUGAAGUCGGAAUCGCUAGUAAUCGUAGAUCAGAAUGCUACGGUGAAUACGUUCCCGGGCCUUGUACACACCGCCCGUCACACCAUGGGAGUGGGUUGCAAAAGAAGUAGGUAGCUUAACCUUCGGGAGGGCGCUUACCACUUUGGAUUCAUGACUGGGGAAGUGAACAGAAGC